GCCAGGGUGGCGGAGUGGCUACGCAAUCGCCUGCAGAGCGAUUUCAUUCCGGUUCGAAUCCGGACUCUGGCU
rnacentral:tRNA from 1 species